rnacentral:tmRNA from 1 species
GGGGGCGACAGGUCUCGACGGGAACGACCGAGGCCCAGGCUGCGCCUCGAGGUUUCUCUCCCUCGUUAAACAGAGAGAACGGUAUAGCUGCCGACACUCAGCUAGCCCUGGCGGCCUAAUCACCCGCCAGCGCCCGCCGGAUCGGGCCGACGGGGUCCGGGCACGGGCGUCAUACUCCGGCGGCUGGCUCCGAACCCUGCCUCAGGGGAGGAGCGAGACUGACGAGGCUGGUCUCGCGGUCGUCCUGCCCGUUGGAGGGCCGCGAGGCGAGAGCGCCGUAAGAUAAACGGGCUAUCGGCGUAGACGCCUGCGGCUGAGGGUUUCCGGACGUGGGUUCGAUUCCCACCGCCUCCACCA